CAAAUUUGUAUGUUGUUGAAGUUGUUGAAAGAAGAGUGUCGGUAUGAUGAAAAUUUUAAUUACCUUAUACAGACAGAUUAUGAUGCUGCAUUAACCAAGUAAACUAUUUUUAUUUUUAUAGACUUUUUUCUCCUCAUUUUGGGUUAAUAAUACUUGCUAUGACUUAAAAUUUACGUUAUUUUCUUAUAGAUAUUUUCCGGAUGGAAUUUAUGUAUAUUUUGACAAUGAGGUUGUCCUUAAUCACGUCAACCAUGGAGCUCAUAUUGUACUUUGUGGAAUGAUAUCAGAGUAUAACAAGGUUUGGACAGAAAGAAAAGGAGUUUGGAAUUUAUUGAACAUGGUGGGUAAAGAAGUUAUGAUGAAAGGAUUUAUGGUUGGUUCAUAUUAUAAUCACUUUGAGGAAUUUGUAAAGGAGAUGGAAGUUCAGUUGAAAGAAGGCAAGAUAAAGUCUAAGCACAAAGUCUAUAAUGGUAUUGAGAGCUUUUUGGAGAGUUUAACAUCUCUAUUUAGUAGCUCCAAUGUUGGAAAAGUAAUUCUUCAAGUUACUCCUUAAAAGUAAUUCUCACAAUUAUUAAACAAGCAAA